rnacentral:lncRNA from 1 species
UCUUCUUCUUCUUCAGCAGCAACAGCAGCAAAAACAGCAUCAUCAUCGACUAGGUUUGUGUCGAAGGUGCAGGAAUGCUUGAUGUAGUUUAUAUAAUUGCCUCGGCCAUCUUCGAUGGAAAAUUUUGGAAAGCGUUCGAUCAUGGGCCAGUCUGCGCCAUUUUGGAGGCAUCUGCGGAGUAUUUGGGUGGUUCCCCGCACGUCCAGUCUCUGGAGCGUAGUGAAUGAUUGUUGCGCCAACCACUCUGGUAAAUGAUUGUUGCGACGACGAUACGUGCCCAAAUUCAAGAACUCCAGUGCAGGAAGAUCAGCAACAAUCUCCAGAUCUGAUUCACCACUUGUACUCAGUUCUUUUACAGAAGGGAAACCUCUGAUGGACUUGAGAGCACACACAUCGGACAGAUCCAAUGUGGUUAAGCAGGUUGCCUGUCGGAUCAGGCCUUCCGGUAGAGACUUCAACUUGGGGCAAUUUUCGAGGACCAAUUUGUCGAGGCGACGCAUAGCAAAACCUUCCGCUACCCAAUCCCACACUUCCAUGUUUGUCAUAUUCCAGAGUUCCAGCUGCCUUAGUUUCGGAAACAACGAAGGAGGAGGAGGAGGAGAAGAAGAAGAAGGGAGCUUUGAAUUCCGUUCACGAUCAUGACCGGUAGCAGCAACUUCACACCCAAAAAAUUCCGGUCCGAUGGUGGUCACUGCAUCUGCACCGACGAUUUCAAGAAACUCCAAGCUAGGGAGCUUCCCUAGCGGUGGAAGCAGUGGCCAAUGAAGACAAUAAAUUAGUUCCAAGCGUCUUAUGUUUGGAAGAAGCGAACUGAUGCUUGCAGACGCCAUCCAGCUGGGGUACCGGAGGCCGAAACCAUCUAAACUGAGCGAAACAACAGAUGAUGGUGGAUGAAGUGCCACAUCCAACACCUUCUCCAUUCUUUCAAUCUCUUCCUCCGUGUGACAAUCGGAUGUCAGUGUGGAUAAGCAAUGUAAAUGUAGAUUCUUCAGUUUAUGGUUACCUUUUAAUACGCUCGUAUCCCUUCCCGGUUCAGCUUCCAGCCACGCCCUCCCCAACCUGUCAACGGAGAGGUAUCUGAGCUCCUGGAGGCUGCCUAAUUCUUCCAAUGGGCACGAACCAGUAGGCGUGUCCAUCACGAAUCCUACGAGUUCAUUGAGGUGCUUCAACCUUCCUAUUCCACAUGGUAAGCUCUCCAAGUCUGUAUCUUUACAAUCGAGUGUCCUUAGAUUGAGUAGCCUAUCUAUACCCUGGGGGAUCUGUCUCAACUUGAAACAUCCUUUGAGGAUCAAAAACUGCAAAUUCGUCAGAUUGCAUAUGCUUUCUGGAAGCUCCGUUAUAUGGCUAUGAGACACAUCCAAGUAUCUCAAGUGUAUCAAAUUUCCGAUAUAGUGUGAUAUGCUCUCGAUAUUUGUGUGCAUAAGGUGCAGGACUCGAAGUCGCACAAGGUUCUUCAAGGAAUCAUCUACAUCCCCCACAAUGCCGCGUGAUCCCUCCACUAACAAUGUCCUCACUGACUCAUGUCGCUUGGUCAAAUUGACGAUAUGCUGGAUGUCCGUGGUUACCGCGANNNNNNNNNNNNNNNNNNNNACUUGAUGGCCAGGGGAAGCCCUCCGCAUUUCUCAACAAUCUUCAUGCCUGUGUCCUUGAGAUCUUGGGCAUCCCUUUCGUCCUCUGCAUUCGUCGUCACCUUCUUGCACAGGAGCGACCAGCCAUCCUCCGGAGGCAGCAGCUUCAUCUCGUGGACGUGGGCCGCCUUCAUUUGCCUCGCGAUCCCUGCGUUUCUGGUGGUCACCAGCACCCUGCUCCCUGCUGCUCCUCCCUGCAAAGGAUUUCGGAGCAAGUCGUCCCAGAUCUGAGCACCCCAAACAUCAUCCAACACCAGCAAGAACUUGUUCCCUCUCAGGAGACGCUCCACCGCGGGCUCCAGCUGACUCCUGCUCUGUUCUCCACCAUGGCUUCCACCAGCACCUGUAACGAUAUUUCUGAGAAGAUCCGUCUCGCUGAACUUUUGGGACACGCACACCCAGAUGGUGGUGCGGAAGCUGGCUUUGAUUUUACCAUCAUUGAACACCUUCUUAGCGAGGGUGGUCUUUCCGAUGCCGCCGAUCCCCACAAUUGCCAGCACCACCACGUUCUUACUCGGAUCUUGCUUUGUCAGCUGCUUCAUCAGUGCCAUGGCGUCGUCCUCCAGUUGCUCGCCAACCAUGUCAGACUUCAUCGUGGGGGAAGUUAUGCGACUAACUUGAGGAACCUGUUGGGGAUGGAGAAACAAGGAGAAACAGAAUAAUACGAGUAAAAAGAAGCCUUUCGAUUCAAGAAAACUGAUGCACACAGACUCUCUAUCUGUCUCUUUCUCUAUCUCAAUAUCUUGCUAUAUGAACUAUGAUUCUAUUUAUAGGACCUAAUGACAACCACCCUAACUACUAGAUCAUGAGGUGAUUAUAGAAAAUCACCUUAUAACUACUAGAAAAUCACCUUAUAACUACUAGAUCAUGAUUCAAGUGGUUAUUGAAAUCAUCAUGUAACCACUAGAUCAUGAUAACAAUCUAGAUAGAUAACUAUGAAUCAAAUCUCAACACUCCCCCUUGAUUCAUAGUUGCAUAAUUUGGUGAGGGUAUCCGAAUAUCCGCAACUUGUUCAUCCGUUCUACAAUACUUCCUUGUUAUGGUUCCACUUGCCUGAAGUAUUCUUCUGAUCAUCUAAAGCUCCUGCACAAUCACUAUUAGUGAAACCAAAUAAUUUGCAUUUAAAUUUUGUUUUGAACACCCAUUUUAACCCAAUCGCUUUCUUUUCUUUCGGUAGAUCCAUUAAUUCCCAAGUUUCAUUCUUCUCAAUAGACUUGAUUUCCUCCUUCAUUGCUUUUCUCCUUCCUCUUUUUUAACUACUUCCUCAAAAGUUGUAGGAUCUGAAAUAAACAAAGCAAAUAUUGAGUUAUAAAUUUCUGUCAGUGAUCUGAAAUUUCUUAGAGGGGUUUCAUCUGACGAUGAAUUUGGAGCAGGAUCUAUCACUUGAUUCUGCGGAGUGUCUAGUUCUGCUGGAAUCUGCAUUUGUGUUUCACCUUUAUUGGUCUCCCAAUUCCAACUUGCCCUUUCAUCAAACAUAACAUUUCUGUUAAUAAUAACUUUGCCACUAACAGGGUUAUAUAAUCGAUAUGCUUUAGAUUGUAAAGAAUAACCAAUUAAAAUGCAUUUCUCUGAUUUUUCCUCAAGCUUGUGAUGAUUUUGUGAAUUCACUAAAGCAUAAGCAAUACAAUAAAAAAUUCUUAGAUGUCUAACACUUGGUUUCAUACCAUACCAAGCCUCAAAAGCCUUUGUUGGUGAAAUAUUCAACAAAUAAACUGCUGUUGCAACUGCUUUUGCCCAAAACUGAUUUGGAAGAUGUUUUCCUUUAAGCAAACUUCUUGCCAUUUCAACGACAGUCCGAUUCUUACGCUCAGCUACACCAUUUUGCUCCGGUGUAUAUGGUGCUGUCAAUUCUCUGUGGAUACCAUUUUCUUCACAAAAAGAACUAAACUCAUUAGAUAAAAAUUCACCACCUCUAUUUGUCCGAAGUGUCUUUAUAUAUCUACCACUUUGUCUUUCUACAAGUGCUUUGAAUUUUCGAAAAUUAUCAAAUGUUUCAGAUUUCAAUUUCAAAAAAUAUACCCAACUCAUGCGACUAUAAUCAUCCGUAAACAAUAAAAAAUAUUGACUUCCACUGAAUGAUUUUGUAUUCAUAGGUCCACAUAAAUCAGCAUGAACUAAUUCAAGACAGUUAGAUGCUCUCCAUGCUUUUCCAAUAGGAAAUGAUUUUCUAUUUUGUUUGCCAUAAAUACAUCCUUCACAUACAUCAAGUGUAUUAAUCUUAGGCAAUCCAAAAACUAUUCCUUUUUGACUUAACAACCUUAAACCUUUAAUGUUAAGGUGUUCAUAUCUUAAAUGUCAUAAACUAAACUCAUUCUUUUGAGUUGUAAUAAGCGCAUAUCUUUCAGUAUUUGACACAUCAAGUGGAAACAUCUUGUUUUGUGUCAUGCAAACAUUUACUAUAAUCAAACCAGAUUUCUUAUCUCUAAUAGUGCAUGAAACAUCAUCAAAUAUUACUGAAUAUCCAUCAUUUACUAAUUGUCCAACACUCAACAAAUUAUGUGAUAAAGUAGGAACAAAGAAAACAUUAUCAAGUUAUUUUACCUUCCCUUGAUUUGUCUUCACCUCAAUUGUUCCUUUCCCUUCCACUUAGAUUUGCUUGUUAUCUCAAGUCUAACAUUCAACUUGUGAGUCUCAUCAAUAUCUCUAAAUAUUGAUUUUAUGCCUGACAUAUGAUUAGAACAUCCACUAUCUAAAAACCAAAUAUCAUUUGAGAUGUUAUGAAUUUAUGAAUGAGUCAUAAACAACUUACUAUUUUCUUCAUUUUUCUCCACAUAACUUGCUUGCUUUUCUCUUUUCCUCUGCCGUCCUCUUCCUGUUGAUUUUUUGUCCUUUUGAAAUAAAAGACUCCCCCUUAGCCUGAAAUACUUUUUCUUCACUUUUUUCAAGUGACCUGUUCAACCUUACUUCAUGUGCUUGCAAGGAACCCAUUAGUUCAUCAAAUGAAUAAGUAGAUAAAUCUUUUGAUUCCUCAAUUGCGGCAACAACAUAAUCAAAUUUCGGAGUUAAACUUCUCAAAACUUUUGCAACAAUUAUAUGAUCAGGAAAAUGUUCACCAUAAGAUUUCAUUUGACUAACAAUUUCAAUCACUCGAGAAAGAAAAUCUUGCACCGAUUCAUUACUUUUCAUGAACAAAAUUUCAAACUCACGACGGAAGGUUUGAAGUUUUACCGUAAUCACCCUUGAUGAGCCUUGAAAUUCAUUUUGAAGUAUCAACCAAGCUUGCUUUGAGGUUGUUGCUGCUGCAAUUCUUGAAAAGAUCGUCUCAUGUACAGCUUGUUGAAUGAAGAACAAUGCCUUUGAGUCCUUCUUUCUAUUCUCUCUCAACCUGAUUUCGUCAUCUGGAUCUGCAUAUCCAUUCUCUAUUAAGUCCCAAAGAUCUUGAGACUUGAAUAGAGUCUUCAUCUUGAUACUCCAAAAUUCAUAACUUUUGCCCGAGAAGAUGGGGAUAAGGGGUUGAGACACGGAAUUGCUAUUAAAAGCCAUAAUGCCCAGUUCAGAUUGAAACUAGGCUCUGAUACCACAAAUGUUGGGGAUGGAGAAGCAAGGAGAAACAGAAUACUACGAUACGAGUAAAAAAAAGCAUUUCGACUCAAGAAAACUGAUGUAGUAUUAAAAGCAGGAGGAUUGAUAAGACACUUACAAGAUACCAAAUGCACACAGACUCUCUAUCUGUCUCUUUCUCUAUCUCAAUACCUUGCUACAUGAACUAUGGUUUUAUUUAUAUGACAUAAUGACAACCAGCCGAUCGUUGAGAUCCUUGAUUUUGUUGCCCACCACAUUUCUGAACGAGAUGGAAGAUAUGUUGCGUUUGACCCGCUUCAGAGGGGGCUCUCCCGGGGUGCACUUCUCGGCCCGCCACUCGUCGAGGAGGUCGUCGGCGUCGUACAGGACAUCCUUCAGCUCCAUCAGCCAGUCGUUGACGGCCUUGUCCUCGAUCCGCCGAUUCUCGGCGUCAAGGACAGACUGGAAGCUGCGGAGAGUGCGUCGGAGCUUUUUGAUAUCCUCGGGGACUCCCAACCACGAGUCCACCUUCUCUUUAGCCUUGUCCAUCAACAUACCGAUCAGCCAGGAGAUGACGGAAUCGGCCAUAGCCUUGUCCAUCAAGUGGUCACAGAGUGGGAGUAGAGUAGCUGUCUCCAAGUAUUGUGGCAGCCAAGGCAAGGGUGAGUGAGGUGCAAGUUAUAGCCGCAACGGUGAACAAGAACCGUAGCAAUGGCAAACAUGCAUAAACUACUCUUAUUAGGUCGACGAACAAUAUAAAGUAGGAGUGCAUUUUACAUUCAAACCCACCUUUGAUUGUACUGUUGUUCAUAUCAUAUCAUGCGAUCCUACGCAGACUCUGUCGUCUUUCACAGCAUUAUUGAAAAAAAAUAAAAAACAAAGUUGGUGUCAUCUUCCAUUGCACAAUAAUUGACCUUCCAUACCAACUAAAGGCGUGUGACAUUAAAGAUAAAGGAGGUUCUAAUGCCAAUCGACAAAAGUAGGAGAUGGACAAAGAAAUAAGUGAAUGAUCAAACAUGAUUAAACUGUACAAAGAAAUAUGUACAGUUUUCAACUAAUGUAAUGAAAAUAUGUCAAAAAAUCUGAAUACUUAUCAGUUGCAAACAAGUUUCAGCGAGCAGGUCAUGAUGCAUGACUAAGCAACGACAGCUAAAAAACGCAUCUAGCAUAUGCGCCUAGGAUUCAUGUGAACUUAGCUUUCUUGACCAACAAUUGCAUACUACUAAAGUCUUAUGAAGCAUCCGCUGAUUUGAGUUGUAAAUUUACAAAUGCUUUUCACAAAUACCUAGAACAAUUUUAAGCACAAUUUAAUUCUAAGUAGUAAGUAGACUCCACUAGUAACAAAAUAUCUAUCCCAGCUUAACUUAAGAUUUCGAGGCACGCACGAAUCAAAAUAGAAAUGAUGCAUGAUGACCAAACCCAUAUGCACGCGAGUGGUUGCAUAAUUAAAAUUAGCAAAAAAUUAGGAAUUAUACAAAAAAAAAUUAGCAACAGACGACCAAGUCGGCUUUGGUUUCAGACACAGCUUUGUGGUGAAGACUUGUGAAACCUUUGACCGAGAAAAGACAGGUCGAAGGAGAUAGGAGACGGGAAGAAGACAAUCGGUCCUAACGCGUUUACGUGUUAUUGCAUGUCGCUCAUCAAACCUUUGACCGCUGCAUCUUCCGCAAUGCAUUUUGUAAGUUGAAAUCGACAAGUAGGUAAGAUAGAAAAUUGAUGUCACGAGAACAAGUUUAAUUCAUUGUCAUCUCUAUCUCCAAGUAUGAAGUAGAGAUAAACACGAAUGCCUUCUGCCAAUCCAAAUGAAAAUAGAGAGAGUUUAGAGAAUAGUUCAACUAUUAAGGAUUAAAAAGGCUCUCACAACUUAAAUACUUAGUCUUUUUAUAGUAUAUUAAUGUUUAUCUCAAUGAAUAUUGACCCUAUUUAGUUAGUUCCCUUUAAUUUGAACUCUUGAAUGUAUACUAUGAAUGAGUUGUUGUAUGCACUCGUAUGUUCUUCUGAAUUAUAUGUACAUACGAGAUUGAUUUAGAAAACUGUGAACGAAUGAGAAGGAAUUCUACUGCAAAAGUGUUCAACAAAUGGAUACAAAGUUUUAAGGCUGCCUUAAACGAGCAAGCAAGAAAUAAUUAGAGGAGGAAGACAGAUGCAUACAAGACAUGACAUAUCUCCAUUGAUGAUAAGGGAAUCGAAGCAGUCGUGCACUGCAUGGGCCGGUGAGGUCUUCGCCGUCUCCCUCCGUUGCUGUCGAGCUCUGACCAACCUCACCUGGAAACAAUGCUCACGACCGAGAAGCAUUAGGAAGCUUCACGACGACGCCACUCACCACCAUGGCCGACCUUCCCAUGAGCUCAUGAUUCAUUCACAAGUCUCGGCUACAGUUUGCAAGCGUUGAAUCCGUGGAAGUCGGACAAAGCAUCUCGGCUAUUUGAUUCCGGAAAAAUACGACAAAGAAAGGAUAAAAACACCGUGGAAAUAAAUAACAAACACAAUAUCAAAAAUACUUUAGGAAAUAUAUUUAGGUUCGAAACGUGUAUAAACACUUUCGAAGGAUUUCUUCAACGUUUUUGGUUUAACACAAAUUUCAUAUUUAUUAAGAUCAUCAAAAUGAUAAUUUAUUAAGCCACACUUAACCAUUCUUCUAAUGGUGCUAGUUCCAAUAUGUGCUAAUCUAUCAUGCUAAAUAAGAAUCAACAAUAUAAAUAGAAGUAAUAUCUUUAUUAAAUUUAGAAUCAUUGUUAACAAUAGAUAAUUUGACUAUUCCCUCAACGGAAUAGUCUUUUCCAACAAAAGUUCCAUAAAAUUAACUUUCUGGAUUCAAAUAUAGAUUUAAUUCUAGAUUUGCCAAGGAGAUUCUCAUUCACUAAAUUUCUACUCAUAUUCGGUACAUGAAGAACAUUAGUAAGAGUGACUUUCUUACCCGAAGUGAAAACGAGUUCCACAUUUCCCUUGUCAAUCACCUUAGAAUAAACUUUAUUUCCCAUUUGAAUCUCUUGCCCUUCUGUGACUUUUUUAUAAGUCUUGAAGAGUAUCUUAUCAUAGCAAACAUAGACGGUAGCAUAAGUAUUGUACCACCAACUAGAAACCUUGUCAAAUAUGGCAUUCACUUCACUCCAAUAUGUGCUAAUCUAUCAUGCUAAAUAAGAAUCAACAAUAUAAAUAGAAGUAAUAUCUUUAUUAAAUUUAGAAUCAUUGUUAACAAUAGAUAAUUUGACUAUUCCCUCAACGGAAUAGUCUUUUCCAACAAAAGUUCCAUAGAAUUAACUUUCUGGAUUCAAAUAUAGAUUUAAUUCUAGGUUUGCCAAGGUGAUUCUCAUUCACUAAAUUUCUACUCAUAUUCGGUACAUGAAGAACAUUAGUAAGAGUGACUUUCUUACCCGAAGUGAAAACGAGUUCCACAUUUCCCUUGUCAAUCACCUUAGAAUAAACUUUAUUUCCCAUUUGAAUCUCUUGCCCUUCUGUGACUUUUUUAUAAGUCUUGAAGAGUAUCUUAUCAUAGCAAACAUAGACGGUAGCAUAAGUAUUGUACCACCAACUAGAAACCUUGUCAAAUAUGGCAUUCACUUCACUCACCGUAGCGAUUAUAUUAUCAUCUCCCUCAACGGAGUUGACUUCCGGUUUCUAGCCUUUUUUAAAUCUGCAAUCCCUAGCAAAAUGACCAGGUUUUCCACAAACAAAACAACCUCCACUUUUGGCUUCUUAAAUUUUCUUUGAUCCCUUUUGGGGCCAAAAUGAUUCUCCUUAUUUUGCUCGCCUUUGUUGGAAUUCUUAUAUUGAUUCACAACAUUUGCUUUUAUAUUGCCAAAAGAGUUCUCACUCUUGUCUUUCAUCCUCGAUUCCUCCUCGAUUCGAAGAUGUUUUUGAAUUUGCUCCUAAGUGAUAUCCUUGAAGUCAUGCAAAAUCUUCUUCCUAUACCAUUUCCAAGAUGAAGGCAACUUGGCUAUUAUAGCCCAUACUUAAAAAGGUUUAGGAAGUUCGAUUUUUUCAGCUUUCAAUUGAUUAACAAUGACCUACAACUUAUGCACUUGUGCCAAGAUUGGCUUGUCAUCCACAAACUUGUAAUCAAAAUAUUUAGAAAUUAAAAUUUUCUUUGUCCCUUCCUCCUUAGUAUGAUAUUUGAAUUCCAAAGCAUUCCAAAUUGCUUUUGUAGAUGGUUCCACAGUAAAAAGAUCAUAACACCGGUUCGAAAGAGCAUUGAGAAUGUAUCCUCUAUAUAUGAUUUCAUAUUCAAUUCUCUUUUUUUGUUUAGCCUUUUCCUCGGUGUCAUCGUCGGUUGGAUCACGAAUUGGUUGAAUAUUUGGAUCAAGCACAUAAAAGAUAUUCAAAGCAGUCAACAUGAACUUCAUUUUAUCUUGCCAACGGGUAAAAUUCGUUCCAUCAAAACGAUCCAAACGAACAAAAUCUUGAUUCAAUAAUUUGAUGGUAUUUGUGGCCUCUAGGAUGAAUUUGUAUAAACUCACAAAAAUUUUAAAAUUUAAAAGUCUUAGAAAGUAUUUUACACCUACACAUAAAUUUUUAUAAAAUAUACUAAUAAACCUAAUAAAUAUAAUAUUACAACAUUAGGUCCAACUACCAAUGCGAGUCAAUGUAGUUGUAUGUAAUCAAUAUCGUACUCUUUUUUUAUAUAUUUCAACACUAUUAAUCUUUUCUAAUAUAGUUCAUAACAAUAUUUAUAGUUUGUUUUGUCAAGAUAAUAUUAUUAUCAUAUUAAAUCAUAAUAUGUAUAUAUAAAUAUAAAUAGGAUAAUAAAAAUAAGUAAUUUUAAUUAAGUAGAAAAAAAUAUCAAUAAUAGUAUUCACUUAAAUAUGUAUCACCUUAUGUUUAUGAGUUGAUCAUAUCAUUCCAAGAACAUAUUCUUUAAACAUUUUACAUUAUAAAAUUUUAAUAAAUUGAUUAAUAAUCUUAGAAGUGGUGCUAAGUUCUUAAUUAACAUAUGUUGUUUUUAGAAUUUUUUUUCUAUAACUACUAAGUACUUUAACUUAUCAUUCUUAAAGAAGAAAACUAUUAUGGUAUUAUUAUAAAAUAUUUUUAAUGGCUUGAUAAUUGAGUCGAUCAUAAAAAGUCUUUAAAAUUUUUUUUGUAAAAAUAAAAUUUGAUUUAUGAUGUCAAAAUAUAUCAUAAAUUCAGCUUACAUUAUUGAUGAUAUAAUAAUCGAUUAAUUUUUACUUUAUCAAGAAAUUACCCUCAAGCAUAUAAAUUCUAAAGUGGAAUUCCUAUUAACAUCUAAAUAUUCUAUCAUUUCAAGUUACCUCAAAGCUCAUUGACGUCUUCUUAUUCUUCUUCUUCUUCAGCAGCAACAGCAGCAAAAGCAGCAUCAUCAUCGACUAGGUUUGUGUCGAAGGUGCAGGAAUGCUUGAUGUAGUUUAUAUAAUUGCCUCGGAAAUCUCUGAUGGAAAAAAUUGGAAAGCGUUCGAUCAUGGGCCAGUCUGCGCCAUUUUGGAGGCAUCUGCGGAGGAGUUUGGUGGCUCCCCAUACGUCCAGUCU